GUGGGGAAUAUUGGACAAUGGGCGAAAGCCUGAUCCAGCCAUGCCGCGUGUGUGAAGAAGGCCUUUUGGUUGUAAAGCACUUUAAGCGAGGAGGAGGCUACCGAGAUUAAUACUCUUGGAUAGUGGACGUUACUCGCAGAAUAAGCACCGGCUAACUCUGUGCCAGCAGCCGCGGUAAUACAGAGGGUGCGAGCGUUAAUCGGAUUUACUGGGCGUAAAGCGUGCGUAGGCGGCUUUUUAAGUCGGAUGUGAAAUCCCUGAGCUUAACUUAGGAAUUGCAUUCGAUACUGGGAAGCUAGAGUAUGGGAGAGGAUGGUAGAAUUCCAGGUGUAGCGGUGAAAUGCGUAGAGAUCUGGAGGAAUACCGAUGGCGAAGGCAGCCAUCUGGCCUAAUACUGACGCUGAGGUACGAAAGCAUGGGGAGCAAACAGGAUUAGAAACCCUGGUAGUCC
rnacentral:rRNA from 1 species